rnacentral:rRNA from 1 species
GACGGGGGAUGCAAGUGUUAUCCGGAAUCACUGGGCGUAAAGCGUCUGCAGGUGGUUUCCUAAGUCCACUGUUAAACCUUGAGGCUCAACCUCAAAUCGGCAGUGGAAACUAGGAAACUUGAGUAGAGUAGGGGUAGAGGGAAUUUCCAGUGGAGCGGUGAAAUGCGUAGAUAUUGGAAAGAACACCGAUGGCGAAGGCACUCUACUAGGCUCUUACUGACACUCAGAGACGAAAGCUAGGGGAGCAAAUGGG